rnacentral:rRNA from 1 species
AGAGUUUGAUCCUGGCUCAGAACGAACGCUGGCGGCGUGCCUAACACAUGCAAGUCGAACGAGAAGUACGUAGCAAUACGUAUUGUAAAGUGGCGCACGGGUGAGUAACACGUGGGUAAUCUGCCCUUGAGUUUGGGAUAACCCCGCGAAAGCGGGGCUAAUACCGAAUAAGACCACGGGGACCAAAGUCCCUGAGGUAAAAGACGGCCUCUAUUCAUAAGCUGUCACUUGAGGAUGAGCCCGCGGCCCAUUAGCUAGUUGGUAGGGUAACGGCCUACCAAGGCGAUGAUGGGUAGUUGGUCUGAGAGGACGAUAAGCCACACUGGAACUGAGACACGGUCCAGACUCCUACGGGAGACAGCAGUGGGGAAUAUUGCGCAAUGGGCGAAAGCCUGACGCAGCAACGCCGCGUGGGGGAUGAAGGUUCUCGGAUUGUAAACCCCUUUCGAUCGGAACGAAUCUCCUCCUGGUAAAUAAUCAGGAGGAUCGACGGUACCGGGAGAAGAAGCCACGGCUAACUCUGUGCCAGCAGCCGCGGUAAGACAGAGGUGGCGAGCGUUGUUCGGAUUUAUUGGGCGUAAAGCGAACGCAGGUGGUUUGGUAAGUCAGAGGUGAAAGUCCACAGCUUAACUGUGGCACUGCCUUUGAUACUGCCUUUCUAGAGUGCAUGAGGGGGAAGCGGAAUUCCGAGUGUAGAGGUGAAAUUCGUAGAUAUUCGGAGGAACACCGGUGGCGAAGGCGGCUUCCUGGCAUGUAACUGACACUCAUGUUCGAAAGCGUGGGUAGCAAACAGGAUUAGAUACCCUGGUAGUCCACGCCCUAAACGAUGGGCACUAGGUGUGGGAGGUAUCGACCCCUUCCGUGCCGCAGCUAACGCAUUAAGUGCCCCGCCUGGGGAGUACGGCCGCAAGGUUGAAACUCAAAGGAAUUGACGG